UACGGGGGGGAGCAAGCGUUGUUCGGAUUUACUGGGCGUAAAGGGCGCGUAGGUGGCCCAGUAAGCGUGCGGUGAAAGCUCGGGGCUCAACCCCGGGUCGGCCGUGCGAACUACUGGGCUGGAGCACUGUAGAGGCAGGCGGAAUUCCACGUGUAGCGGUGAAAUGCGUAGAUAUCUGGAGGAACACCGGGUGGCGAAGGCGGCAUCCUGGACCGGCAUUGACGCUGAGGCGCGAAAGCUAGGGGAGCAAACGGGG
rnacentral:rRNA from 1 species